GUAGCUCUGUGUUUUUUAGACUCGGCUUGCUCGUGUCAACGCAAAACCAGGACAAGCAGAAUAAACAAAGAGAUGCUGGCAGAAGGCUGGGUGUGUCGCCUCAGGUCUACAGAUGUGCUGGGGCCACACUGAGGAAGGCCCUCGUGUGCAUGCAGGGCGCUGGCCGGAGCGCCUUAGGACGCAUCUGAAAACUUCUCAUUGCCUCAGGGUUUAAAAUAGCCACACUUCCUGCUCCUCGGAGAGGGUAUGCACAGAAUGUGGGUGACUCACCGUCGGUGGUUUUCGAUGUGUCUGUCAUAAGGAGGUAUCAUCAAAAGCCCGGCCUGUUUCAGAUGUUAUUUUUUUCCACCCUCAGCCAUGCGGUGCUGGGAGAGCAGAAUGCCUAAACCCAGUGUUUGUUUUGAGCGCAGAAAGUGAAGACCAAAUCAAUUGUGCCGCAGCAAGUAAAAACUGAAUGCGUGAGGGGGAAAAAACCUGCAAACAGUGUGAAGACUGAGUUUCAAGGUUCUUGUUUUCAAAAAGUUUAAUUAUAUUUCAACUAAAGCCAAACUGUCAAAACAUGGGAGAGUGAUCUGCCUGCUUUGAAAAUGCAUUAGCCUUCUUAUGUAAAAGCCAAUAAUUGAUAUCCAAGAGGAAACCAGAGCUGUGGGGGUCGGAGGAAGAAGGAAGACAGCCUCUUAGAACUGCUCAAACGACACUUCCCUAUCAACUACGUGCAAAGCUUUAGAUCCAGGUUUGUGAAGUGGGAAAUUGGAGAGGGGAACAAAGGCAAAGCUAAAACCCUCUGUGAAUGGCGAAGGUUUACAAUAUCAGGCCUGGUUUACGAGACAUGUGGGGCCAGGGCACUGUGAAUUAGAAUUUACAUAAGCGAGAACCUGGAAGAGAUCCUCAAAAUUCUCAACAACAGCUUUGUAAAUAACAGCAGGCUGUGCCUUCUUCCCCCUGAGAAAUGCUGGGGUGUGUCUGGGCUGCCCCCAGGGCCGGGCUAAUGCCUGGGCCCUCUCUUUGCUUCCAGCCCAGCUGGUUUUCAGGUUAUCUGGUUGUUGUUUUUUUUUUUUUCCAGACUCCACUCAGCCACUUCCUCCAAAAAUGGACCGUCGGUGGUUAAGUCUUUGCCCUCUUCAUCUCAGUUCCCAUUCCUGCCUCUCCUUCAGUAAUCUCCUAGAACUUUCUAGUUUCUAGCACAGAGAUUCUUAAUCGUGUUCUUUUGAUGGCUGAGAAGUAUGUGUAUUCUUAAACCACUCUCAGAUUAAAUUAAGCUUGCACUACAUAAAAAA
rnacentral:lncRNA from 1 species